GACGAACGCUGGCGGCGUGCUUAACACAUGCAAGUCGAACGGAAAGGCCCUGCUUUUGUGGGGUGCUCGAGUGGCGAACGGGUGAGUAACACGUGAGUAACCUGCCCUUGACUUUGGGAUAACUUCAGGAAACUGGGGCUAAUACCGGAUAGGAGCUCCUGCUGCAUGGUGGGGGUUGGAAAGUUUCGGCGGUUGGGGAUGGACUCGCGGCUUAUCAGCUUGUUGGUGGGGUAGUGGCUUACCAAGGCUUUGACGGGUAGCCGGCCUGAGAGGGUGACCGGCCACAUUGGGACUGGGAUACGGCCCAGAGGCCUACGGGAGGCAGCAGUGGGGAAUAUUGCACAAUGGGCGGAAGCAUGAUGCAGCAACGCCGCGUGGGGAAUGACGGCCUUCGGGUUGUAAACCGCUUUCGCCUGUGACGAAGCGUGAGUAACGGUAAUGGGUAAAGAAGCACCGGCGAACUACGU
rnacentral:rRNA from 1 species